GAUGAACGCUAGCGAGACGCUUAACACAUGCAAGUCGAAUGUCGAUUUAUCGGCAUGGCAGACGGGUGAGUAACACGUGCUUAAUUUGCCCCGGAGUGGGGGACAACAUCGGAAACGGUGAUAAUCCCGCAUACGCCCCAAUAAAUGAAAAUAAUUGGGGGAAAGAUUUAUCGCUCUGGGAGAAGGGCGCGGCUGACUAGUUAGUUGGUGAGGUAAUGGCUCACCAAGACGAUGAUCAGUAGCUGGUCUGAGAGGACGAACAGCCACAAUGGGACUGAGACAAGGCCCAUACCCCUACGGGGGGCAGCAGUGGGGAAUCUUGCGCAAUGGACGAAAGUCUGACGCAGCGAUCUCGCGUGAAGGAUGAAGCUUUGCGGAGUGUAAACUUCUUUUCUGGGAGAAAACGACUGAUGGUAUCUCAGGAAUAAGGGACGGCUAACUACGUG
rnacentral:rRNA from 1 species